rnacentral:rRNA from 1 species
UACGUAGGGCGCAAGCGUUAUCCGGAAUUAUUGGGCGUAAAGAGCUCGUAGGCGGUUUGUCGCGUCUGCCGUGAAAGUCCGGGGCUCAACUCCGGAUCUGCGGUGGGUACGGGCAGACUAGAGUGAUGUAGGGGAGACUGGAAUUCCUGGUGUAGCGGUGAAAUGCGCAGGUAUCAGGAGGAACACCGAUGGCGAAGGCAGGUCUCUGGGCAUUAACUGACGUUGAGGGACGAAGGCUUGGGUAGCGAUUAGG